rnacentral:rRNA from 1 species
CUGCAGCUCAAGUGGUGACCACUAUUAUUGGGCCUAAAACGUUCGUAGCCGGUUUGGUAAAUGCCUGGGUAAAUCGUGUAGCUUAACUAUACGAAUUCCGGGUAGACUGCCAAACUUGAGACCGGGAGAAGCUAGAGGUACUCCUGGGGUAGAGGUGAAAUUCUGUAAUCCUGGGGGGACCACCAGUGGCGAAGGCGUCUAGCUAGACCGGGUCUGACGGUGAGGAACGAAGCCCUGGGGCGCAAACCGGAUUAGAUACCCGAGUAGUCC